rnacentral:rRNA from 1 species
GAUGAACGCUGGCGGCGUGCUUAACACAUGCAAGUCGAACGGGAUCCAUCAAGCUUGCUUGGUGGUGAGAGUGGCGAACGGGUGAGUAAUGCGUGACCGACCUGCCCCAUACACCGGAAUAGCUCCUGGAAACGGGUGGUAAUGCCGGAUGCUCCAGUUGAUCGCAUGGUCUUCUGGGAAAGCUUUCGCGGUAUGGGAUGGGGUCGCGUCCUAUCAGCUUGACGGCGGGGUAACGGCCCACCGUGGCUUCGACGGGUAGCCGGCCUGAGAGGGCGACCGGCCACAUUGGGACUGAGAUACGGCCCAGACUCCUACGGGAGGCAGCAGUGGGGAAUAUUGCACAAUGGGCGCAAGCCUGAUGCAGCGACGCCGCGUGAGGGAUGGAGGCCUUCGGGUUGUAAACCUCUUUUAUCGGGGAGCAAGCGAGAGUGAGUUUACCCGUGAAUAAGCAC